UACGUAGGGUGCAAGCGUUAAUCGGAAUUACUGGGCGUAAAGCGUGCGCAGGCGGUUUUGUAAGUCUGUCGUGAAAGCCCCGGGCUCAACCUGGGAAUUGCGAUGGAGACUGCAAGGCUUGAAUCUGGCAGAGGGGGGUAGAAUUCCACGUGUAGCAGUGAAAUGCGUAGAGAUGAGGAGGAACACCGAUGGCGAAGGCAGCCCCCUGGGUCAAGAUUGACGCUCAUGCACGAAAGCGUGGGGAGCAAACAGG
rnacentral:rRNA from 1 species